AACUUUCAGCAACGGAUCUCUUGGCUCUCCCAUCGAUGAAGAACGCAGCGAAAUGCGAUAAGUAAUGUGAAUUGCAGAAUUCAGUGAAUCAUCGAAUCUUUGAACGCACCUUGCGCCCUUUGGUAUUCCGAAGGGCAUGCCUGUUUGAGUGUCAUUAA
rnacentral:rRNA from 1 species